AUACGGAGGGUGCGAGCGUUAAUCGGAAUUACUGGGCGUAAAGCGCACGUAGGUGGUUUAUUAAGUCAGAUGUGAAAUCCCUGGGCUCAACCUAGGAACUGCAUAUGAAACUGGUAGGCUAGAGUACAGUAGAGGGUGGUAGAAUUUCUAGUGUAGCGGUGGAAUGCGUAGAUAUUAGAAGGAAUACCAGUGGCGAAGGCGGCCACCUGGACUGAUACUGACGCUAAGGUGCGAAAGCGUGGGGAGCGAACAGGAUUAGAUACCCCAGUAGUCC
rnacentral:rRNA from 1 species